UACGUAGGGGGCAAGCGUUGUCCGGAUUUAUUGGGCGUAAAGCGCUCGCAGGUGGUCCGUUGCGUCGUGCGUGAAAGCCCCCGGCUCAACUGGGGAGGGUCACGCGAUACUGAUCGACUCGAAGGCAGGAGAGGGUAGUGGAAUUCCCGGUGUAGUGGUGAAAUGCGUAGAUAUCGGGAGGAACACCAGUGGCGAAGGCGACUACCUGGCCUGUUUCUUGACGCUGAGGCGCGAAAGCUAGGGGAGCAAACGGGG
rnacentral:rRNA from 1 species